AACGAACGUUAGCGGUGUGGAUUAGGCAUGCAAGUCGUGCGCGAAAGCCUUCGGGCGAGUAAAGCGGCGAACGGGUGAGUAACACGUAACCAACCUACCCUCGAGAUCGGAAUAACCACUGGAAACGGUGGGUAAUGCCGGAUGGUCUCUGGAAAUGGCAUCAUCACCAGAGUAAACGGUGGCUUUGCUGCUGUUCGGGGAGGGGGUUGCGGCCUAUCAGCUUGUUGGUGGGGUAAAGGCCUACCAAGGCAAUGACGGGUAGCCGGUCUGAGAGGACGAUCGGCCACACUGGGACUGAGACACUGCCCAGACUCCUACGGGAGGCUGCAGUCGAGAAUCUUCCGCAAUGGGCGAAAGCCUGACGGAGCGACACCGCGUGCAGGAUGACGGCCUUCGGGUUGUAAACUGCUGUCACGCUAUAGGAACUCCCUGCUGUUAAUAGCUUCAGGGUUGACCAAAGCGAAAGGAAGCACCGGCUAACUCCGUGCCAGCAGCCGCGGUAAGACGGAGGGUGCAAACGUUGUUCGGAAUUACUGGGCGUAAAGCGCGCGUAGGCGGCCGUAUAAGUCAUUUGUGA
rnacentral:rRNA from 1 species